UUUCCGUAGGUGAACCUGCGGAAGGAUCAUUAUUGUAUAACCGAGGUGCGAGGGCUGUCGCUGACCCGAAAGGUCGUGCACGCCCGAGUGCCCUCACACACAUCCAUCUCACCCCUAUGUGCACCACCGCGUGGGUCCCCCUUUGGCUUGUUCGGAGGGGGGCUUACGUUUUCACACAAACUUAGUAUGCAGUGUAGAAUGUAUUUUUUGUUUUUGCGAUCACGCAAUCAAUACAACUUUCAACAACGGAUCUCUUGGCUCUCGCAUCGAUGAAGAACACAGC
rnacentral:misc_RNA from 1 species